CACGUAGGGGGCAAGCGUUGUCCGGAUUCAUUGGGCGUAAAGAGCUCGUAGGCGGUUCGAUAAGUCGGGUGUGAAACCUCCAGGCUCAACCUGGAGACGCCACCCGAUACUGUCGUGACUAGAGUCCAGUAGGGGAGCGUGGAAUUCCUGGUGUAGCGGUGAAAUGCGCAGAUAUCAGGAGGAACACCAGCGGCGAAGGCGGCGCUCUGGGCUGGAACUGACGCUGAGGAGCGAAAGCGUGGGGAGCAAACAGG
rnacentral:rRNA from 1 species